UGUUAGUUAUUUACAGUCUUGGCAUGACUGCUUCCCAAGUAGUAAAUAUAUUCUGGCAUAAUUAAAGCAAUUGCACUUCCUUUGCAGGCAAAACCUCUGAGAUGGUAUCUCUGGAGGGAGAUGUUGGAACUGACAGAGAAGCUGCCAACUGCUGUUUAUCUGUUAACCAGUACCUCAGGCUCAGAAGACUGCUUGGAUAAUUAAAGUUGUAGCAUCUGCCCAAUAGUUAUAUACUUAAAAUUACUGUGCCUUGGAGUCACCUCCCUUUAUUGAUCUUCAGACUGGUGCAAAAUGAAAUUGCAAAUACAAGACAUUCAGGCAAAAAUUCCAUUAAUGGCAGUAAAGAGUAUAGGGUACUACAGGGCUUCUUGUGGAAGGGCAGGACUACAAUAUUUUUCCAAUCUCACAGGAAACUGCAGCAACUAGAUGGAUGUAGGCAAUGGCCCUGUUUGCAAGGGAACUUUGCUCAGUCCUGGAAAUCCAGGUGUUUGACAGCUCCAGAUUAACAAUAAUGAAAAUAGUAAGAGACUUGUAGUAUCUGGUUUGUACAGUAUGUCAGCACCAAAGCACCGAGGAGCUGUUACUUGAAUUCAGAUGCAAGUUCUGCAGGAAAAAAUGUCUGCCUGAUCUGAUAACUGAGAAUGACAACACAAUGGGCUAUAUUGAAAGGGGCAAUAAAGAUGCUUUACUUACA
rnacentral:lncRNA from 1 species